AUCAACCAAGUAAUCAAACAUUUUUGGAGUUUUAUUUUGUCGACAGAACAGAAACGUCGAAGCCAUAAUUUGUUCUUCUUCCAUUACUCUUCUCCUUUCUACUUCCAAAUCUUCCAUUACUCUUCUCCAAAUCCGUUUCAACCACUAUCUGCUCUAAUCAAUUUGAUUGAAUUAAUUCAAUGGACUCCUUUCACCUUCCUCUCCAUUUGUUUAUUUACAAAUCUCUUUCCUCAACUUUGUCUCAACUAAAACUGGUAAGAUUCUCUUAGACUUUCAAUCCGAUGGAAUCCAGACACGAAAACCCUUAUUGGCCAGGAGAUGCUCUUUACGACGAAGAGGGAACUGUUAUUCAAGGUUUUGUUUGUUUGUUUAUCAAAUAAACAGAACGAGUUUCUGGAUUUUGUAAUUUUCUGAUCCACCUUACCCCUUCGCAUUCAACGCUAAUCCAAACGUCUAUCAACGUUUGCCGGUGGAACACCUUUAGAGAAAACUUGGAAGAGAUAUCGUUUUAUGAGUUUUACAGACCAAACCAUGUUCAUUGAGACUGCUGUGACGGUGGAACGAAACCUGACAAAGAGCUUCCGGUGGUUCCGCAACUUUGACACAAUCUGAUUUGGCCAACACAAAAACUGACUUUUCAGGGUUCAAACUAACGUAAUGGAUCGAUGCCUAGCAAAAAAAGAAUGAAGAGGAGAAGUCUAAGAAAGAAACAAACCUCCAAUUAGUUCUGUUAAUCAAGGCAGAAGGUAUGUUGCAACUUCUGUUAUUUUAUAAUUUUGUUUGAUUAUUUCAUUGAGAUUACCAGGAUGAGGCAUAAAUCUAUUGCGAAAGAGCUGAUUUAGCCAUAUUCUGGAAACAUGUGUCGAUGUUGGAUGGACCGUUGAUGGAAAGGAUCCGACGUAUCUUUGGCAGUAUAUUCAAGAAGGUGAGAUCCAUUUUCAUGAUUACUAAGGAAAAAAAACACACAGAAAAAAUGUUUAUGGGAAUUGAAAAGAUGAUGUCUUCUCUUUUCAUCUUUUAUACUUGGGUGAGCUGCUAUGUUUCUUCACUUAAAAUUACUCCGUUUUUGAUUAUUGUCGCGUUCAUUAUUCUGUUUAACAGUCCCAGUCGUCUACCGAUCUCAAUAUUAUGUCUUAUUUUGUUGACGUAAAAGAAAUAGAAAGUUACAUAGAUUUCUUGCAUAUCAUUGUUCUCUCUUGCUCUCAUAUUAAAUCUUCUCCUCUUCUUUCCAUGGAUCUUAAUUUAUAUAAGAUUUUCGAUGCCUAUUAAAAUACUUUGGAUUACUUUUUUUUCGUUUCUGCCUUUUCCCCCUAUGAACUGACCAAUUUGUUUUUCUAUGGAGCUUUUGUGAACUGAGAAAACGCUGACGUAGAUCGAGAAAAGGAGUAGCAGAGAUAAGGGUCUGACCUUCCACCCCAAAAGACCAAGGAAUUACGCCAAUUUUCACAGAGGUGUCAUCAAACUCUGGUAUUAUCAAUGGGUUUGUUUGUUCUCUAUCCACAGCUUAUCUUCCUCUCAAGAGGUUGUGUUCUCGAUGAACGUAUACAGAUAAUACUGAUGAAAAAAUGUAGAUCAGAAACUAUUUUAAAAUCUCAGAAGAGUUUGGAGCAUCCUAGGAUGAAAAGAGAAGCAACACCAAGAUACAGAUAGAAAUUUGAUCGUUGUGCUAAAAGAUGCUUACACAUCUUUGUUUCCUUUUGCUUCGUUUGUUUUCCAUGUUAUCUUCAUUCUAUUUAAUAAAAAAAAAAAUUUCAGAGAA